UCUUUAGGCAUAAGUGUAUCUGCUUUAGUUGAACUUCACUUAGCGGCACACACAAGUUUGCACUUAGUUCGAUGACUCGACGCGUGGUCUCUUGUAUCUUUGGGAUUCGGAUUGAUCGCUAGCAGAUUGCGAAUGGCGAAUUGCGAGUUGGGUUUACGGAUUCGAUUGAAUAUUGCGAUUGCAUUCAGCGACAAUUCAAUUAGUGCAAUAACCGGCGCGUUCGGCAGCGAAAUUGCUCACCUGUGUUCAGGUGGAGCGGAGCGCACAGAAUGAAUUGAAUCAAUGGGACAGCGCGAAAGACCGCCAUGGAAAUCGAAAUAACAGACCCCCAACACAAUACAAUACAAGCAAAUAAUACUCACACACUCGGGAACUGAAAUUGAAAUCUACGAAAAACGAAACGAAGCGAAAAAGCCCGAACAGAAACAGAAAGAAAAAAGCGAAGCAGCGUACUCAACUGAACUCGGCUAAAAUGAAUCGAAUAGAGUCAUCGACAACGACGGGAUUGGGCUUAUUGGCCGCGUUGUGUUGCCAAUUCGGACUGAUUAGCGUUUCUUGGCGGCUCACUGCAGGUGUCUGCCAGCCGUCUGAGCGGCUAACAGCGCUGUUAGCAACACAACAGCACAGUGGGCCAUAAAAGCGAUUUGACGAGCCUAAUCAAAUAAUAAAACACCAUACAUAUAUGUUUACUACUUCCGCGAGCUGUCCAAAAAAUAAAUAUAUAACUAUAUCACCGCUCUCAUACUACCAAUCACUGUGUUAUGCAAUCAGAGGUAAUGUAACUGAAUGCAAUAGCUACAUAGAGACAAUUAACAAUGAUUUUCUAAUGCUAUCAAAAGAGCACCUAUUUUGCAUUAACUUAGAUACACAAAACACGAAAAUGUAAUU
ensembl:ncRNA asRNA:CR45136 antisense RNA:CR45136